UACGUAGGGUGCAAGCGUUAAUCGGAAUACUGGGCGUAAAGCGUGCGCAGGCGGUUAUGUAAGACAGAUGUGAAAUCCCCGGGCUUAACCUGGGAACUGCAUUUGUGACUGCAUGGCUGGAGUGCGGCAGAGGGGGAUGGAAUUCCGCGUGUAGCAGUGAAAUGCGUAGAUAUGCGGAGGAACACCGAUGGCAAGGACGAUCCCAUCGGCGUGCACUGACGCUCAUGCACGAAAGCGUGGGGAGCAAACAGG
rnacentral:rRNA from 1 species